UCCCUGGUGGCUCAGUGGUAAAGAAUCUGCCUGCAAGGCAGGAGACCAGGGUUCGAUCCUUGGUUUGGGAA
rnacentral:tRNA from 1 species